UGCGUUCCAUUAGGCAGUUGGUGAGGUAACGGCUCACCAAACCUUCGAUGGAUAGGGGUUCUGAGAGGAAGGUCCCCCACAUUGGAACUGAGACACGGUCCAAACUCCUACGGGAGGCAGCAGUGAGGAAUAUUGGUCAAUGGGCGCAGGCCUGAACCAGCCAAGUAGCGUGAAGGAUGACUGCCCUAUGGGUUGUAAACUUCUUUUAUAUGGGAAUAAAGUUUUCCACGUGUGGAAUUUUGUAUGUACCAUAUGAAUAAGGAUCGGCUAACUCCGUGCCAGCAGCCGCGGUAAUACGGAGGAUCCGAGCGUUAUCCGGAUUUAUUGGGUUUAAAGGGAGCGUAGGUGGACAGUUAAGUCAGUUGUGAAAGUUUGCGGCUCAACCGUAAAAUUGCAGUUGAUACUGGCUGUCUUGAGURCAGUAGAGGUGGGCGGAAUUCGUGGUGUAGCGGUGAAAUGCUUAGAUAUCACGAAGAACUCCGAUUGCGAAGGCAGCUCACUGGACUGCAACUGACACUGAUGCUCGAAAGUGUGGGUAUCAAACAGGAUUAGAUACCCUGGUAGUCCACACAGUAAACGAUGAAUACUCGCUGUUUGCGAUAUACAGUAAGCGGCCAAGCGAAAGCAUUAAGUAUUCCACCUGGGGAGUACGCCGGCAACGGUGAAACUCAAAGGAAUUGACGGGGGCCCGCACAAGCGGAGGAACAUGUGGUUUAAUUCGAUGAUACGCGAGGAACCUUACCCGGGCUUAAAUUGCAUUUGAAUAUAUUGGAAACAGUAUAGC
rnacentral:rRNA from 1 species